rnacentral:rRNA from 1 species
UACAGAGGUCCCAAGCGUUGUUCGGAUUCACUGGGCGUAAAGGGUGCGUAGGUGGCGCUUCAAGUUUGAUGUGAAAGCUCAGGGCUUAACCCUGAAAUGGCAUUGAAUACUGGAGUGCUGGAGGUUUGGAGGGGGGGACUGGAAUUCUCGGUGUAGCAGUGAAAUGCGUAGAUAUCGAGAGGAACACCAGUGGCGAAGGCGAGUCCCUGGACAACACCUGACACUGAGGCACGAAAGCCGGGGGAGCAAACAGG